GCUCAGCCUCCAAUAGGGGACCGGUACGGGGAAAACGGGGCGUGACCCGGCCGUCCUGCGCGCGCCACUGGCGAGGAGCAGGCGGGAGCCAGGACUUGAAGCGGAUAGUCGGAAGGGCGCCGCGUCAACAGCCGCGGCAGCCGGGCGGGGGCGAAGCUGAGUGCGCGUGCGCCGCGCGCGAGCCGGGGAGCGGGCGUGGAGUGGCGGGAGCGCGCGUGCGCGCGCCCAGGCAGCCCGGGCACCGGGUCCUGCCUUUGACGGGAGGAGGCGGCGGGUCCUCUCUGUGACGGCGGCGGUGCCUGCUCCAGACACCUGAGGCGGCGGCGGCAGCCCCGCGGCGGACGCGGAGAUGUGGCCCUUGGUGGUGGUGGUGCUGCUGGGCUCGGCGUACUGCGGUUCAGCUCAGUUGAUAUUUAAUAUAACCAAAUCUGUAGAAUUCACCGUUUGCAAUACAACUGUUACCAUCCCAUGUUUUGUUAAUAACAUGGAGGCAAAGAACAUUUCUGAAUUGUAUGUCAAGUGGAAAUUUAAAGGAAAAGACAUUUUCAUCUUUGAUGGCGCUCAGCACAUAUCCAAGCCCAGUGAAGCCUUCCCUAGUUCAAAAAUCUCACCAUCAGAAUUACUACAUGGCAUUGCCUCUUUGAAGAUGGAUAAGCGUGAUGCCGUCAUAGGAAACUACACUUGUGAAGUAACAGAAUUAAGCAGAGAAGGCGAAACCAUCAUAGAACUAAAACGUCGUUUUGUUUCAUGGUUUUCUCCAAAUGAAAAUAUCCUCAUUGUUAUUUUCCCAAUUUUGGCUAUACUUCUGUUCUGGGGACAGUUUGGUAUUUUGACUCUUAAAUAUAAAUCCAGUUAUACGAAGGAGAAAACCAUUUUUCUAUUAGUUGCUGGACUAAUGCUCACUAUCAUUGUCAUUGUUGGAGCCAUUCUUUUCAUCCCAGGUGAAUAUUCAACAAAGAAUGCUUGUGGACUUGGUUUAAUUGUAAUCCCUACAGCAAUAUUAAUAUUACUUCAAUACUGUGUGUUUAUGAUGGCUCUUGGAAUGUCUUCCUUCACCAUUGCCAUAUUGAUCCUUCAGGUAUUGGGCCAUGUGCUCUCUGUGGUUGGACUUAGCCUCUGCGUCUCAGAGUGUACCCCAGUGCAUGGCCCUCUUCUGAUUUCAGGUUUGGGUAUUAUAGCUCUAGCAGAAUUACUUGGACUAGUUUAUAUGAAAUGUGUUGGUAAGUCAGCCUUAUUAUUGUUAGCCAAGAAUUUCACAUAUAUAAUCUGGGAAAUGCUUUUGAUUGAUUCUUACAGUUUAGAAACAGAGAAAUGAAUUGGUAAUUCCAGAUGGAAAAAAUGCAACGAAUGCUGCUUUAUUAUUUUUUUUAUUUUUAUUUUUUGCUUUUUAGGGCCACACCCACAGCAUAUGAAAGUUGCCAGGCUAGGGGUUGAAUCGGAGCUACAGCUGCCAGCCUACACCACAGCCACAGCAAUAUGGGAUUCGAGCCAUGUCUGUGACCUGCACCACAGCUCAUGGCAACACUGGAUCCCCAACCCCCUGAGGGAGGCCAGGGAUCGAACCCGCAUCCUCAUGGAUACUAGUCAGAUUUGUUUCUGCUGUGCCACAAUGGGAAUGCCCAGCUGCUGUAUUUUUGAAAUAAUAAAAUUAGAAUGAUUCGGGGGUACUGAAAGAGGGUAGAAGUCAUACGCAUUCAUGAAAAGUUUAAAGAUUAUUAGGUAGUUGCAGAGAAAGCAGCUUUAUGUUUUCAAAAAUACAGAUUUUUUAUACCAGUAAAAGGAGAGAGUGUUGAGGAUUCAUUUUCACUAAUUAAAAAGGAUUUUAAUUGGCUCGUUGUCUCUGUAAUAGAGCCCUUCCACAGAGGCCUGUUUGUCAGUUGCUGUUCUCCUUGCAGACUGUUUACAAACCUUGUCUCCCCGAAGUAGACAGAACUGAAAUUCAAAAUCUGUCACUUUUGUUAAUUAAAGAGCAGUGCGCUGUGACACUUGACUUUAAAAUAUUUUUAGUUGAAACCAAUAUAAUAAAGACAUUGAGUUUUAAAUUUUAGGCUUUUACUACUCUUAAAAAUCAGUUGAUAGUAAAUGUGGACUUAGCUUACUAUUUCUAAACUUUGUAUUUAAUCUUCAAAUUUUCAAAUAACAGGCUUCUGUAUUAAUUCUUAUUUUUAAUAUGUUUAUAGAAAUAGGUGCUUUUAAUAGUGCCUAAAAACUAGUGUUGUCUUACUCUAAAGCUGUUCCCCACAGUCUAGUUUAUAUUAGUCUUCCUUUAAAAGAUGUGUUUUUUAUUUACCAAGUAAAGCAAACUCUUAAACAUUUGUCAAAAAAUGCAAAGUUACAAACUAAUGGAGUAAAAAAAAAAAUCAGUCUUUUCUGCUUUGCCUUAGGUGAACUUUAUAUUUCUAGAAAUUAACACAAACCUUGAAUUGUUAUAGUCGGAUAAUUCCCCCACAUGACUUGCAUAGUACUUUGAAAGAAAUUUUACCUUUAUUUCUGAACUUGAACUUUCACUGACUAAUCACUGAGUUCAAUUCUGUUACAUAUUUUUAUCUCCCUUUAAUGCUUCUUAGCUGAACAGUUAAAAUACUUAACUAAAAUUUACCAUCUUUACAUGUGCAUAAGUCAGAGCUGUUUCCUCAGUGACGUUUUCUUAGUUCAGGCCAUAAAGCCUAAUGAAUAUUUCUGAAGCAGAGUGGCAUUCAUUUGGAAGCCAUCGUGAGCAUCACAUUAUGAAAGCUGAUACAUGUCCUAUUUUUGUUGAGUCUUCUAAUCACCAUUUGUCUGGUUCCUGGAGAUGGCACUGCUGAUGAUGUUGCCGCCUCUGAAUGCUUGAGAACAGAAUGUGACCUGCAGUUUCCAUACAUCAUGAUGUAGUAAUAGGUGUCUUUGACUGAUGGUCAGCUCUUUGUUCUUUUCUUCCCUCAUUAUCCGGAUCUCCCUCCCUUUUAUCCCCAUCUCCUCCAUGCCUCCCAUGUCUAAUGAAGACCAACAGGUCUGGAGAUGCUGACUUAAACGGAACUAGGCAUUGUCUGGCUGCUACCCCCUUGACUUUGCUCUCCAUUCCCUUCUCCAUCACUACAUCCCUAAGAAGCCCAUGAAACCAGUGUAAUUAUAAAUGUACUAUUCUCACAUUAAAAUCAAAGUGACACUCAAAUCCUGGAAAGUUCCCCAAAUUGUUUUUUCUUUAGCAUAGUCUAAUAUAUAAAUAUACCAUAUGUAACUUAAGAAUUUAGUCCAACUUUAUUGACAUUCUGAGAAUAUUCUAAAUUAACUUUUCAAAUUGACUUGUCUGAUGCCAGAGUUCAGAGAAGCACCUUCGGUCAGUUGAAGGGCAAGAAGAGAAAAGGUACAGGAAAGUAGCUGUUUAGAUAAUGUGAUAGACUAGAAAAGUUGAUGUGUUUUUCAUAUAUAAUCUGAAUGUGUAAAUCUGAGUAUGUAUAACAUUAAGGUUGCAAAUUUGAGCAUUUGUAUCAGGAAGUAAAAAUUAUGAAUGCUUCCAGCAUAACCUUUACUUGUUGCAGAUAUUCUUUUCUCUUUUGGAAAAGUCUAAUGAAUGUGUCUUGACUUAAAUGUGAUAAAAUCCUUAGGUAGCUAAAAAAAAAAAAAAAUCCCAGCUAUCUUGGACUAAGUUUAUAUCCCUAUGAGAGGUUUAACUUUUUUCUUUUUUCACUAUUUCCAAGUUUAAAUUUGUAUCCUUAAUUGUUACUAUAAAGAGUAGGGUUUUAAGUUUCAUUUUCUAUGUUCUUUUCUAACUGUGUUGGGGUUUUUUUGUUUAUUUAGUGAAACAUUUAAAUUCCAUAAAAUGAAAUCAAAGGCUGAGAAGAAUAACAAAAUGAGAACAUAUAGAAAAUUAAAAAGAACCAACUAAAUUCACUGAAAUUGGGUGUAGUGUCAAUAUAGGAUGCUUAUGUCCAUUCUUUACAAGGAUUAAUACUUGUUAAUUUUUUAAGCCAUUACUAUUUAGUUCAGUCGAAGGGAAUAUAAUCAUGUUUUGAUACAAAUCAACUGACUAGCAGUCAUAAAUGCUAUUUACCACAACAUGUCAGAUAUUUUAGAAUGACAAGAAAUAGGUAUGUAAAAUUCAGUAAUAAUUUCUUGCCUGUUGUUGGAGAGAGGUGGAUCUGACAUCAAUAUAUAUAACACUAUAAAAGUAUUCCUGAAAAUUCAAAACCUAGAAAUAUAUUUAUUGUAUGUGUCAAAUGUUUCUGGGAAAGAAGAACAAAUUAGAAGAAGCAUUGCAAGUGAGCUCAUAUGGAAUCCUUAAGGCUUGUGAUUUUAAAAUAUGUAUAUUUAUUAGUGUCGAUGCCUUAGGCGCGUGGUAACAGCAGAUAAAUCACAAUCCCUCUUAAGUCACCGUAGGUCAUAUGCCUAUUGGAGAGGAUUAACUCAAGCAAAAUUCACUUCUGCACUGUUUGGUUUUAUAAUAUUAGAGGGAUCACAGCUGACUGGUGCCCUUUGAAUAAUUAUUUUUGUAUAGAUCUCUGUUUCAGAACGAGCUAGCCAAAUGUGACUUUCCUUGGAUCUGAGAAUCAGAACUCAGAAAGUAUUCUUUAUGUGUUAUUAGGGUUAUUAGAGGAGUUGCUUGGCAGUUCCCAACACUAAUUCUGAUAAAUAAUUUAUAAGCUCAUAAAUAUAACACUAAGAUCUUACCUCUGGCCCUUCACAUUACCAAUCAGAAAUUUACAUAGCUAUUCAGUUCUCUUCUCCCUGAUAGAACUUAGGUACAAGACAUGGUUUAGUUGAAGUAAGUUGUACCUACAUGUAUGUAUCAUGGAUCAAGUUGUAUAUAUCAUGAUUGUCCCUAGUGAAGUUCUAUAAUUCCGCUUGGUUCAUUUGGGAGGAUGCUAAAUGUGAUUUACCUAUAUCCCCAACACAUCUUACUCCAUAGUACUUUAAAAAGGAGGUUUUCUUCUUGUUUGGUUUAAAGGACCAAACCACUCCCCAAGUGCCUCCAGUAAAGGAGAUUUACAUUAAAGCACACACAGAGAUGGGAGUCUCAUGAGAGCAGAUGCAUAACUGGGCCUCAGAGAGAGUGGAAUAGUGAGUGAGUGCUUAGGCAUUAGAAGAAUCCAGCACAUCUCUGAAGACUGAGUAACCAUAUGUCUUCUCAGUAACCAGAGUUAGCCCAUGACCUGCCAGUGACAGUUCCUUAGUUCCUCUCUCUUCGGGUCUUUACCUACUAGCCAACUAGCUCAUCCUCUCAUUAAAGUUCUUAUUUUUUUAUCCUAUUUUCACCAAUAUAUUUUCUUACCUUUGACUCUAAGCUUUGAGCAUCUCCUUGGUUUCUUUCUAUAUCUCCUCUUUAGGUUCCAAUGAGAGAAACUUUUCAGGCCAGUCUAUUGCCAUUUCACCUGUUGGAGCAAUCCUUACCAGCUUCUGGCCAGUCUGUAGGUUGGCCACCAUUGGGUCAGGUCUCACCCCCAUUCCCCCUCCAUUUUGGAAGCUUGAUAAGUGGGCAUGGAGGAGUGGUAGGAAAUAAUUAGCACAGAAGACCAGAGCAGUUCUGGGGGCCUGUCUCCAUCUGCUCAUAAGCAAAUCCAGUGCCAUCACCAAGUCCAGAGGAGAAUGAAAUUGACCACCCGGUAGCAUCACCCUCCUGCAGGGUGAUUCACAUGAUGUUGCCACUUGAUGCCUUUGUAUCUGUGGGUCUCUGAUUCUUUAUUUAAGACUGGUGUUAGUUGCUCCAGGACCUCCUCACUUGGUUGUCAUAAGGAGGUUCUCUCUUCUUCCUUAUGCAACUAGGGCAGUUCUUUUCCCUUUUGUCACUCUCCUCAUGUCCCAUAUUCUUUCAUCUUCAUUAACCAACCCAUUCAGAAGCCACAAAGGGUAACUCAGACAGCUAAGAAGGAAUACAGAGAAAGGCUUGAUUAUAGCUUAAUUGGCUGCCUGGAAUAAUUCUUUAAACUCAGAGGGACCUGAAUAUUUUCUUUAGUUUGUCUGCUCUCUGGAGCUCUGAAAAUUGGAAAGAUAGAAGAAGAACAAAAGAAGACUGAGCUACAGGGAACAAGAGCAAUGAACUAAGGGUGGGCCAUGGAGUAGAGGCAGAAAGUGGUCCUUGCCCCACUCAUUCCACAUUCCAAAUGGGUUGAGUAGGGAGAGGUAGACAGCCUACAGUGGAGGUGAGUAGAUGACAGCGUUUCUCCGCCAUGAAGUGUUACAAGUGGCUGACUUGGGGACAGAUAUGGCAUGCACAAAGGAGAGACUUUGUAUGUUCAGUAUUUGAUUUGGGUGGGUUAUUUGCAUCAUUUUAUUCUGUCAAUGCAUAUAAUUAAGAGUGUUCUGUAUUUGUUUAAUAGACUAUCAAGGCCAGAACUCUUUCAGUGGAGUUUCUGACACCCUUAGUUUUAGUCCUGAAAAUCUAUCUUAAAAUAUAAUAAUUGCCUUAAUUUCUUUCAUUUAUUAAAUUCACUUUCUUCUUUUUUAAUUUUAAUCAGCUUCUGAUCACAAGACUAUACAACCUCCUAGGAAAGCUGUAGAGGAACCCCUUAAUGAAUAACUGAAGUGAAGUGAUGGACUCUGAUUUGGAGAGUACUAAGACGUGAAAGAUACACACUUGUGUUUAAGCACCACGGCCUUGAUUCACUGUUUGGGAGAAGAAAAUAAGAAGAGUAACUGGUUUCCAUCUAUGGGAGAAAGUAAAUCAUUGACCUUUAAAUUGUUACAGUUUAAGUUUUUAUUCAAAGCAUUUUUAAUUUAGUUAAUAAAAUUACAAUCUGUGUUGUGUGCCCAAUUGAGA